ACACCUUGUCCCAAUCGCAUUAGUGCAUUUGAGAAGGCUGUUAGGGGUUUUGCUGACCACCCAACUGAGAAUGUGAUCGUCCCGAAGUUUGGAACUACAUUUGACUCAGUUGGCGAGGCAUACGAUUUCUACAACUUGUACUCGUGGGAGAAGGGCUUUGGUAUUUGAUACGGCAAGAGCCGUCUGAAUGUGGAGAGGAUAAAGUGCAUGUAA
rnacentral:rRNA from 1 species